GUUAGGAAUAUUGGACAAUGGGCGCAAGCCUGAUCCAGCCAUGCCGCGUGAGUGAUGAAGGCCUUCGGGUUGUAAAGCUCUUUAGCCGAUGAUUAUAAUGACUGUAGUCGGAAAAUAAGCCCCGGCUAACUUCGUGCCAGCAGCCGCGGUAAUACGAAGGGGGCGAGCGUUAUUCGGAAUCACUGGGCGUAAAGCGUGCGUAGGCGGCUUUGCAAGUUGGGAGUGAAAGCCCAGGGCUCAACCCUGGAAUUGCUCUCAAAACUGCAAGGCUCGAAUUCGGGAGAGGAUAGCGGAAUUGUCAGUGUAGCAGUGAAAUGCGUAGAUAUUGACAGGAACACCAGUGGCGUAAGCGGCUAUCUGGACCGAUAUUGACGCUGAGGCACGAAAGCGAGGGGAGCAAAUGGGAUUAGAUACCCUAGUAGUCC
rnacentral:rRNA from 1 species